rnacentral:tRNA from 1 species
GACCUAUUAGCUCAAAUGGAAGAGCAUUGUGUCAUGCACAAGAUGUGGGUUCGAUUCCCACAUAGGUUA